ensembl:lncRNA
CUGUUUUCCUGCAGAAAUCCCAAAGCUGAUAUCUCAGAGCCCUGUGUUAAAGGCUAGGAAGGCUGCUGGGAGCACAAGAGCAGCAGGAUGGUCUGGGGGCAAUGCCCGACCCAUCAGGGAAUUGAUUCCUUGCUCUGCACCUCCCUUUGCCUUUCCUGAGAUGAAGCUCAGAGUAUAUCACUGAGCCCUGCAGCCAGCUGCUGUUCAUGGUGACAGCCUCCCACAGCCUGCAACUGCCUGAGCAUACGGCUCUAUCAGGGACACCUUGACUGUGCUCCUUGGAAAGAAAGCAUCCUCUUAGGGAAAAACAACAGCUACACGUGUGACCUGCAAUACCAAAUCAGGUUGUAUCCAUCCCCCAUGCAAAACUCCUGGACUUCUUGGUGUGGUCAGUAAAAGGGUGACAAGCACCAGUCAUUGGAUGCAGUGUUAAGAAGGAAGAGCCAUCCAGAAGGGCUCGAGCCCUUGCUCCUCCCUUUUUUGGACACUUUUGGCCUCUCCUGAGUGCCAUCAGUAAUUUUGCUGUGUCACAACCAAGAAGAGCAAUGGAGGGACGAUGGGAGACAGCCUGACAGCUCCCUUCUCUUUGCUGUGGCCCCAGACCAGAGGGCUUCCCUUUGUGCUCUACAUCAUCACCUCCUGCAAGGCAAGAAUGACAGCUAACACGCCAGGAAACCUGUGGCACAAGCAAUAAACCCUGUCCUGAACAACACAAGCACAAGUGGGCUCCUUUCACAACAUACAGGAAAGCAUCACUAGCACCUGGACCAUAACUACAUCCAGAGGGAGUGAGGGCAUCUUUUAGGCCGUGACAUUCAUCUGCCUUCACCGAGAGACACAAAUAAAUAUGUAUCUAAAUAAAUACAGAAACACACCCAUCAACCAGCAUCUCUCUGUCUCUCUCUCCAGCUUACUCUGCAAUGCUCAGACCCUGGCACUGUGUGCCCUUUGACCUCUUGCCUACAGCACUGAAAAUUUGAGAAUUUCAGAAAUAAAGGGAGGAGCCCCAUUAACCCAUUAACAGAUCCACCCUUUGGAGGGGCAGUGUCCCUCCCUCACCUGCCAGGCUUGCCCUGCCACAGCCAACUUUCUUCUCCUGAAAGCCAACAGCCAUGCACUGCCCCAUCUCCUCCCCCAGGAGAGGCACAGACACACAUCUGUGGCCAUGGCACAACAAAUGUGGCCACAGCACUUCCUACAAGGCCAUCACCAUGGCUCUAGCACAGUACUGUGGUUGGCACUGAUCCCCCCUUUCUCUGCCAUCCUGACUCCAGGAUGCAGAAAGCUGUGUGCACCCAGCCAUCCUGCCCUGGAACAGCAAUUAAAUGCCACGAGCCCAUAGGGAAAUGAGUGGUAGUGGGAUGCCUUUGCAACCCCUGCCAACAGCCCAUCCUUUGGGAUAAAGCCCACAUACUGGGGGUCCCGCUGUUCCCACAGGGACAGUAUUUG